AAUUUCUUUUUUACAGAUUUGGAGAUUUAAGUCUAAGGUGCAGGCAUAAUUAUGUUCUUGGGAGGACCUUUUUCUGGGUUUUGGAUUGCUGUCUCCUUAUAUACUCACCUGGUGGAAAGAGAGCUUUCUAGUUCUGGCAUCUCUUCUGAUAAGGGUACUAGUCCCAUUUUUGAGGGCUCCCACAGGCUCUUCCCCAAGUGCCAUCACAUUGGGAUAAAGGUUUCAACGUGAGAAUUUUUUUGGUUUUUUGAGGCAGCGUCUCCCUUUGUAGUUCAGGUUGGCCCUGAACUCACUAUGUAGCCCAGGAUGGCAUUGAACUCACAGUGAUCCUCCUGCCUCAUUCUCCCGAGUGCUGGGAUUACAGGUGUGCACCACCAUGCCCAUCUCAACAUGAGAAUUUUAAGGGACAUAUUUAUUCCUUUGCAGAUAUACAUUAUAUAUAAUCUGGGGGCUUUUCUUUUACUAAGAGGCAUUCAUAUUUUUGUAGGUAACUGAGUCAUUCAUCUUCAGUGCUGUAUACUAUUUCAUUGUGUGAAUUAAUCUGGCCUUCUGGACACCAGAGUUUAGGCUUUCAUAUUUCUUGCUUUAAUGAACACCACUAAAGUGGAUAUUCACUUUUGUGUCUGUAUUUCUUUGUGAGCACUUGCUGAAAUUUUACUCCAUUUAUACCUAGGAAUGGAAUGCUGGUUGCAAGUUGUGUGACUUUUCAAUUUGCAAGAUAAUUUGAGACUAUUUUCCAAAGCAGUGGCAGCAAUUUAUACUGUAACCACCAAUGUAUAAAUUAUUCAUCUAUUCUCUUGAGUAGUUUCUGUUUCCAGAUUCAUGUUUUUAAGUGAAUGGAUAUAAAUUUUUAUCUCUUCAUAGUCUUGAUUUGCUUUUCCUAGAUUAGUUAUGAGGAAAUAAUUAGAGGAACUGGAAAAUAAUUAUUAUCCAUAUGAAAUUUAACUCAGAUUUUUAUCUUACAUCAGACAUGCAAAUCAAUUCCAGAUGGAUUAAGGACUCAGCGUUUUAAAACUAUCAGUGAAUGCCAUUAGAUUUUGAGACAAAGUUACCCAAAGUAAGUUAGAUUACAUUUCCUGUUCAAAAAGUCAUCCUUAUAUAAAGCAUUUCAAGUGGAUGAAUACAUCAUUUAGGGAGAGAUGAGGACAGCUGUACAGCUAAUCCCUUUUCCCCACUUGGAGAAUGACAGAUGGGGUCAUGAGGAGUAUUGCUUCCGAGCCCUGGGAACCCCUGCAGCAGGUGUUGGUAAUCUGGGGUUGAUUGGUACAGCAGCUCAAUUACAUCAGAGAUCCAAGAUUCUUCUGUCUUUUUGCUGCCAUCCUCAGGAAGGAAUAAAAGAUAACACAGAAGUGGCUCUUUGGUCUCGGUGGCACAAGCAAGAUGAUGAAGGGAAUGUCAUCGUUUGGAAAGCGUUGUAAUAAGAUGCACACGCUGUGCCUCCGCUGUGGCUCUAGGGUCUACCACCCUCAGAAGACGCCCUGUGGCAAAUGUAGCUACCCUGCCAAGCGCAAGAGAAAGUAUAACUGGAGUGCAAAGGCUAAAAAAAGACGAGAAAACUGAGACUCCCGGAGGCUCUGGAGAACCCAAGAGCCAACGAAGAGUGAACUCUCUGGGGCUUCGGUGGUGACGCCAGACAUUUCCGUGGGUCAGGUUGUCAGGGUGCGCGGGGAAAGUGGCGAGUAAACAUUUGGGGCUGUAACCCGGGCUCUGGCGACAAGUCGUCACUGCGGUUCCCAG